rnacentral:rRNA from 1 species
UAACCGGCGAUACCCGAAUGGGGAAACCCAGUGUGAUUCGUCACACUAUCAUUAACUGAAUCCAUAGGUUAAUGAGGCGAACCGGGGGAACUGAAACAUCUAAGUACCCCGAGGAAAAGAAAUCAACCGAGAUUCCCCCAGUAGCGGCGAGCGAACGGGGAGGAGCCCAGAGCCUGAAUCAGCAUGUGUGUUAGUGGAAGCGUCUGGAAAGGCGCGCGAUACAGGGUGACAGCCCCGUACACAAAAGCGCAUGUGCUGUGAGCUCGAUGAGUAGGGCGGGACACGUGGUAUCCUGUCUGAAUAUGGGGGGACCAUCCUCCAAGGCUAAAUACUCCUGACUGACCGAUAGUGAACCAGUACCGUGAGGGAAAGGCGAAAAGAACCCCGGCGAGGGGAGUGAAAAAGAACCUGAAACCGUGUACGUACAAGCAGUGGGAGCACAGGUUUACCUGUGUGACUGCGUACCUUUUGUAUAAUGGGUCAGCGACUUAU